CGGCAAUGAAAUGGGCAUACCUCAAUUAUAUCCAAGAAACUUGAAAAUAAACGAGUACAAUCUCAAAUGCACAGCGGGGUAGCUAUUUACUAAUAAUAAACACAGUACAACUUUUAUGUAAAUGUUACAUAAACACACACACACACAUCAUUUUAUCACUGUUACUCCCUUGUUACAUGCAUAUGUAGUUAUUCCCUUGUUACAUGCAUAUGUAUUAUAUUAUACAAACAAGACAAUAAAAAACUAUAGCUUUCGAAUUUGGCACUAUGUUCAUCAAGAAUUCUAGUUACCGGCACUUAUCUUCGCCUUGUCGUUGUGCUUCUUGGCAGCCGUGACUGCCGAUUUUGCUACAUUCUUCGCAGCCUUGGCCAUUUUCUUUCCCAUCCUCGUUGAAACGUGCUGCUUUCCUUUGGGAAUCAAACUUUCAUUCUUGCUCGAUCGUGGACCAUUGCUGUUGCUGGAAUUCAUUUCUACUCUUCUUUUGAAAAUGUUUUAUUGUUUAUGACUCUCUUUC
rnacentral:lncRNA from 1 species